rnacentral:lncRNA from 1 species
CCAAAUAUAAUAAUUGACGCUCAAAAUUAUUAGAACAACGCAUAUUUGGAAUAGACUGUAUGCAAAAUAAUCUCAUAUAAAAUGAGCAAUUACUACUUUACUUAUCAAUCUUUGUUUCCCAAGAAUACCUUAGUCCAAAGCAUGGGAAUGAAAAGCAUUGCAGACGAAGAGGCAGUCUUAAACGAAGGAAAGAGAAAAAAAUACAUGUAAUUUUUUGGAAGAAAUAAUAUCACUUCUUAUUAAUUCAGGAUUAAUUUCAUUUAGCACAUGUAUUCACGAAAGUAUCUUGAUUCUUAUUUUGUUUGAAACGUUUAGGCAAAAAACUAAAUGAAAUUAUAGGUAAAGAAAAACAGUAGAUCGUUGAGCAUGACAUAUAGCGAGAAAUCAAAAUGUUAAAAACUAAAGAAUCCAUGGAGUCAUGAAAAUAUUAAAAGAAAAUAUACAUGACUAAUUAAUUAGUAAGUAACCCAAGUAGCAGUUGGGAGUUGAAAGGAACAUAUCAUCAUCUUCUUCUUGUUGUUGAUGGAGCUGUGGUGGGCAAUACAAUUAUAAAUUAAGAAAGAGAAGAGAAGAGAAGAGAAGAAGGAUUAUGCAUUAAUUAUAGUAAGCUAAGUAAGGGAGCUCCCUUCAGUCCAAGCAGAGAAAAGAAAGGGGUGAAAUUUGACUCCCGCUUCAUUCACACAUUCAUAAUAGUAUCAUCUUCUCCGCUAAUACGUUUGCGUCAAUGAUUCGGCAGCAAAUUUCCUACCCCGCACCAUAUCCAUGACUGGACUCAAGGAAGCUCCCUUCAAUUAAUCUAUUCACUCAAUAAAAACAUAUAUCAACACUCAUUCCUUGGAGAAGACCAUAUAUUGAAAUAACUUCAGUGAAUUAUAUAGCAUCGUACAUUUAUAUCAAAAUAAUAAUAAAAAAAAUAUUAUAAAAAAGUUAAUCUUUGACAAAAAGUAGAGAAAAUUGUGUUUCCCUAUGGAAGAAAAUCCUUGCAUGAACCCUAACCCUAAUCCAAAUAGAAAGCCACCAGCAACAGAAUCAUCAUCAUAAAAAAACAAGGGUUAGAUCCUAAUUAGCCAAAUCAGAUCCAAAAUAUACACACUCAACUUUUUCCUCUUCAAGAAAAUGCAAAUUUUGAAAUUUAUAUAAACAGAUUUAUCCUUUAAAUCUGGCUUCUGCCACAGAUUGACAUACACUAUAUAUGCAUACAUAUUACACACAAACACACAUACAGAGAGAGAGAUGAGAGAAAAGCAGAAGACUAGUAGAGGAACUAGAAGAAAUUAAUUGAAAACACAAUAAAUUUAAAAAAACAAACAAAUUAAUAAAGGAGAAAUCAAACCAUGACAACAGUGGAAUGCAUAAAGUAGGAAAUCAUAUGGUAUUUCUUCAUGAGCAGACAAAAUGAUAGUGAGGAUGUGUCAAAAAUAGAGAGAGAAAAAAGGAAAAAUGAUGUCCUCGGAUAAUUGAAGGUGCUGAUGUAAAUCUACACCUAAACUCAGAAUUUAUAAAGGGCAAGGGGGGGUUGGUAGUCUUCUG